UAGUCCACGCCGUAAACGAUGGUUACUAGCUGUUCGGACUUCGGUCUGAGUGGCUAAGCGAAAGUGAUAAGUAACCCACCUGGGGAGUACGUUCGCAAGAAUGAAACUCAAAGGAAUUGAUGGGGGCCCGCACAAGCGGUGGAGUAUGUGGUUUAAUUCGAAGCAACGCGCAGAACCUUACCUACCCUUAACAUUUCACGACGUAUACAGAGAUGUAUAUUUCUCUUCGGAGACGUGAGGAUAGGUGCUGCAUGGCUGUCGUCAGCUCGUGUCGUGAGAUGUUGGGUUAAGUCCCGCAACGAGCGCAACCCUUGUCUUUAGUUGCCAUCAUUAAGUUGGGCACUUUAAAGAGACUGCCGGUGACAAACCGGAGGAAGGUAAGGAUGACGUCAAGUCAGCAUGCCCCUUAUGCUCUGGGCUACACACGUGCUACAAUGGCCGUGACAAAGAGUUGCUACUUUGUGAAAACAAGCUAAUCUCAUAAACGCGGCCUCAGUUCGGAUUGCAGG
rnacentral:rRNA from 1 species